rnacentral:lncRNA from 1 species
GCACAACAGCUGGCGAAGUCAAACCAAACAUUUCUACACCGUCAAGACUUUUCGAACAGAGCUGGCGAAGUCAAACCAAACAUUUCUACACCGUCAAGACUUUUCGAACAGGGUUACAUAGAGGCGGCUCUAGUGCCCAGAGAGCAUUUCAGGUUCUGGUGCAGGAUUCGCAGCCUGGUGGAACUGCUUUGCUUCAACUUGCCAUAGAGGGGCCUCCGCACCAGCGAGAUUUGUUCAUCAGUCCUGUGUUUCUGUAGCAAGAGGAGACUGAUCUGAAGAAAUGGUUGCUGGCUUUGGCCCUCACUUGUGUACCAGACAUUUGAACUAAUAAGCUGAUUUUCUCAGUCUUGAGAUCCAGAGUUUUGAGUAACAUGAUUCAUUUUCUUUCCCAAGUCUAUUCCACUAAAAGAAACACAAAUAACAACAGAAAGUUAAGGAAAUAAUUAAACAAAGCACCUCGGACGCGUAAAGAACUUAUUCAUAAUGGAACUCGUUCAUUAUUGUAUUCUUUCCAUAGCCUUUAAACCCUGUUCUUGAGAAAGAAUUAGUAAAAUAUUUUUCUAAAUGCCUUAAACCACUACCACACCACCGGGAAAAGAUAAAAUUUAAAAAUCUUCAGGUAUCAUGAUCUUUAAAC